AUUGAACGCUGGCGGCAGGCCUAACACAUGCAAGUCGAACGGUAACAGAAAGCAGCUUGCUGCUUUGCUGACGAGUGGCGGACGGGUGAGUAAUGUCUGGGAAACUGCCUGAUGGAGGGGGAUAACUACUGGAAACGGUAGCUAAUACCGCAUAACGUCGCAAGACCAAAGAGGGGGACCUUCGGGCCUCUUGCCAUCGGAUGUGCCCAGAUGGGAUUAGCUUGUUGGUGGGGUAACGGCGCACCAAGGCGACGAUCCCUAGCUGGUCUGAGAGGAUGACCAGCCACACUGGAACUGAGACACGGUCCAGACUCCUACGGGAGGCAGCAGUGGGGAAUAUUGCACAAUGGGCGCAAGCCUGAUGCAGCCAUGCCGCGUGUAUGAAGAAGGCCUUCGGGUUGUAAAGUACUUUCAGCGGGGAGGAAGGGAGUAAAGUUAAUACCUUUGCUCAUUGACGUUACCCGCAGAAGAAGCACCGGCUAACUCCGUG
rnacentral:rRNA from 1 species